GAUGAAGAACGUAGCGAAAUGCGAUAAGUAAUGUGAAUUGCAGAAUUCAGUGAAUCAUCAAAUCUUUGAACGCACAUUGCGCCCCUUGGUAUUCCGAGGGGCAUGCCUGUUCGAGCGUCAUUACACCACUCAAGCUAUGCUUGGUAUUGGGCGUCGUCCUUAGUUGGGCGCGCCUUAAAGACCUCGGCGAGGCCACUCCGGCUUUAGGCGUAGUAGAAUUUAUUCGAACGUCUGUCAAAGGAGAGGAACUCUGCCGACUGAAACCUUUAUUUUUCUAGGUUGACCUCGGAUCAGGUAGGGAUACCCGCUGAACUUAAGCAUAUCAAUAAGCGGAGGA
rnacentral:misc_RNA from 1 species